UCCGUAGGCGGUGUGGCAAGUCGGUAGUGAAAUCUCUCGGCUUAACUGAGAGGCUGCUGCCGAAACUGCCAUGCUCGAGUGCGAGAGAGGCGAGUGGAAUUGCGGGUGUAGCGGUGAAAUGCGUAGAUAUCCGCAGGAACAUCCGAGGCGAAAGCGGCUCGCUGGAUCGCAACUGACGCUGAGGGACGAAAGCUAGGGAGCAAACAGGAUUAGAUACCCUGGUAGUCCUAGCCCUAAACCAUCAGGACUUGGGGUUUGCCCUGUACGGGGCAAGUCCCGGAGCUAACGCGUUAAGUCCUGCGCCUGGGGAGUACGGUCGCAAGGCUGAA
rnacentral:rRNA from 1 species